rnacentral:lncRNA from 11 species
CAGCAGGGCACACCUGGAAGGUCCAGAAUGAGUCUGGGGAUGAAAAAAUGUCCUGGCCUGAAGUUGUGAGAAAGGAACAAACAAAUCACAACUCCAGUUUUAAGGUGAUACCGACUUGAAAAGUCCAUACAACAGGGAGCCUACAAUCAGCAGAAAGGAGUGAGAACUCCAAGUACAAAAUGGAAAUGGCAAACACAAGAGUGAAGGAAACU